GAUGAAGAACGUAGCGAAAUGCGAUAAGUAGUGUGAAUUGCAGAAUUCAGUGAAUCAUCGAAUCUUUGAACGCACAUUGCGCCCCUCGGUAUUCCGUGGGGCAUGCCUGUUCGAGCGUCAUUUAACCUCUCAAGCCUAGCUUGGUAUUGGGUGCUUGUCCCGCCUCUCGCGCGGCGACUCACCUCAAAGUCAUUGGCAGCCCGCAUCUCGCCGGCCGUGAGCGCAGCACAGACGCGCUCUUGGCAACGACGGAUCGGCUCUCCAAAAGCUUAUUUCAACCACUGACCUCGGAUCAGGUAGGGAUACCCGCUGAACUUAAGCAUAUCAAUAAGCGGAGGA
rnacentral:misc_RNA from 1 species